UCGGAUGUGGUGCAUGGCGCACAACAGCUCCUGUUAAUGGCUAACCAUAAUGUAUCAUUGUUGCAGGCUGAAGGUCGGGGUUCGACUCCCCGCGUCCGAA